GACGUAGGGCGCGAGCGUUGUCCGGAUUUAUUGGGCGUAAAGAGCUCGUAGGCGGUUCGUCGCGUCGGCUGUGAAAUCCCGAGGCUCAACCUCGGGCCUGCAGUCGAUACGGGCGGACUGGAGUUCGGCAGGGGAGACUGGAAUUCCUGGUGUAGCGGUGAAAUGCGCAGAUAUCAGGAGGAACACCGGUGGCGAAGGCGGGUCUCUGGGCCGAUACUGACGCUGAGGAGCGAAAGCGUGGGGAGCGAACAGG
rnacentral:rRNA from 1 species